rnacentral:lncRNA from 1 species
AAUAGCAGGCGACCGCAAUGAACGCUAUCUUUGCGCAUGCUAUUCUAAAACUGCCUCACAUCAUCUCCUGCCUACGAGAGUGAUCACCGACGUCUAUGACAUGUGCGUCGGAAAAAACAAGCGCCCUUUUUCGCUUUGCGUCUCACGCACCGGGGUGUAAAACAAUAAGGAUUGAAGCCGUGGCUGUCGUGCGCAGUGCCAAUGCUACGAAGUUACGGGCACCCGCCGACGUAGCACCGAUGACUUUGCAAAAACAGGUUACGCGUGCUGCGUCAUUGACCAAUGCCAGCUCCUGGAUACCGACAUGGAGCCAGAGAAAAACCAGACUCAUGUUCUCGCGAUGUGGACGGCAACAAAAAACGGAUGCGACAAUACUGCAUUCCAAAUACUCCUGCUUUCGCCACUGCCACGAGCGCAGACAUUUCAAGCAGCACGGGCUGUGUUCAGGACUACGGGACCUCUACUUGAGACUCCACCUCCGGCAAGCCAUGCCUUUUUCCAGCGUUGAGAGGGUUAUCGCAAAAACGAGAAGGGGCUACCUUAUUCACUGGAAAGGUUGUUCCAUGUGGGAGUGUUCGUUUGAACCAAGACGUAACCUAAACAGGGACUGCCUGCGGAGUUUCGAAGAGUCUUGGCCACCUGACAGCAGACGCUUACAGCAUGCA